CAACUGAACCCAGUACUUACUUAAUUUAAGUGUAAAAAAUUCCUAAAAUUGCAAUAAAUAGCAGUAUGGUCGCAUAACUUUAAAUGCUGAACCCAUAAAACUAAAAUCCUAGAUCCGCUAGCUAUAUAUUUAUGUAUGUGUAACACACUGGAAAGGAAAGAAAAGACAGAAAACUUAAAAGUCUUUGUCUAUCACGGUAUAGAGCCGCGGUCUAGUAUUGUUUUAUAGUCGUGCUCUCUGUUCGGGUCAAAAGGAAUUUCAAUUCGGGAUUUUUGUAGAACGCAAGGGUCUUUUUAGGAUGCUGAAUGGAUCCGUUCCUAAGCCUGAUGAUGCAAAGGAACGAGUUCAGUGGAAGUUGAACAAUGCUAAGGUCCAUGGGCGAAGCUACAUGUUAUAAAGGGUUGUUGGAAAAUUACACUGAAUUUCAGAGAAAAAAUGACGAAUGAAAACCAAACUAAUGGAAAUGUUGC